UUGUCAGCGGCAGGUGUUUCCCUCGCAUGUGUGCUGCACUUUCCAGCAAAUAAAUUAUAAAUAAAACACAUCGACGUCCACACGAAGUGCUGUCAUGAUUUUCCUGAACCCCACAGAAGCUCUUUGCUUGUGCGGGGUGACCAGGUUAAAUAUAUCCCUUUUUUCGGCGUCCCCUCAACGCUGCGGAUGCUUUAUUUAUGCCAUGAAUAAAUGCAAAUUUCUCAACGCCGCAGCAGAUUUUGCAACAUAUGAGAAAGAAAAGCGGAUGGGAGCGGGGCCAAACGGAAAAGGGACUCCGUAGCGUGUCCUUUGCAUAAUAAUAACUUGUAAAUGUCAUGUAGCGUAACCGUGUCCUCUAUCAAAAAAUAAGAAGAAAAAAUGUUGAAAGUGAAGUUCUCCAUUUGGGAUCGUGUGCCGUAUGCGAAUUAGCAUUUAAUAUGGGACAUAGGGCCAGAAACAUUAACAUUGCUAAUACGCUCCAGUGUCUUCAAAGGAAAAUGGCCGGCUAAGAAAUUGAAGUGAUUGCAGUAAACUGCAACAAGUUGAAAGCGAAAAAAUAAACACCAACGAACGCAAAAAAGAAAGGUAAACAUUAAUAUUGCUCUCUGUUUGCUUUUCCCAUAGAACUGUGUGAUUAGUUUAGGUUCUCAACCUUUGGCAAACCUUAUCGACGCCACUAAUUGACCGGAAACGAGGAAAAUUGAUUUAUUUGCCUUGGCUCAAGGUCGUCAAGGGCUCAUUAUUGUGAUUAAAGCUGGGCACAUAAUCAAUGGCAAGUGAUUGGUCGAGAAGCGAUUUCCGUAAUUCAAGCAAUUUGUAAAUUAGGUUUGACCUGAUAUAAAUGAAACGAGUUUUGGUGACAUUGCGCAAGCAAACGCCUGAAAACGCAAGCCCAAUCAACAAUCGUUUCCCAUUUUGGAUGGCAUUAAAUCGGAAAUAAGGGGAACUUUAAUUAUUUAUGGGACUGAAGGAGUCUGGCCCAGUCAAUGGCAUAAAACGGAAAAUUUGUUGCCCACCAACAACUCACUAUCGCCAGAACCAUUGGGCAAUUUUUGCAUUGGCAAGCGUUUUUGGACCAAAGACAGCGCGCCACUUGUGUGCGAUACGUUUGCAACAAAGACAGAAACGAGUCUCUAAAAGCGAGAGAGAAGACAGUCAUAUACGGAAAGCCAUUUGAAAACUAUUACGCCCAGGAGAUUCAUUCAAGUAGUGCGGCAUUUAUAACUCAAAUGUUGCCCAAGUAACAAAAAGCCUAAAAACUCGAGCGCAGCAGCAGGAGUUCAACUGUGGCGAAGGGUUUGCAGCCCGGCAGACAGGGAUGAGCAACUGGAAAUUGGCCAAUUGUAUUUUAUUUGUACUUUAUUAUUGUAUAAUAGGUUCGAAUAAUCUUUGACCAUUUAUAAUGUUUCUGUGUAAAUGGCAAUAAACAUAUCUAUGGGUGUAACUGUAUAUAGAUAUUUAAAUUCAAA